UGCCUCCAUCCUUUGAUCCAGAAUCAAAAGGGCAGCAAGUAGCAGUUUGCUGUCUGUAGUGAGCAGGAGGCUGUUCAGCUGGACAGCUUUGGAGCAGGGGAAAUCAAUUAGGAAAUCUCCUUCUCACUGGAUUUUAAAUAGUGCUGGAGGCAGUGCUAGGAAGGAGGGCUGGAGGUCCUGGUGUAAAUUGAUUUAGAGUGGGGGUUCUGGAUUUAUUUUAUCAAGGAUGUAUGUUUGAAAGGAUGGGAUUUGAAGUGGUAGAUGUGAGAGAAAAGCCUGAGUAUGAACGUGCCAACCAUUUUUCCUUUUCUUUUACAGGUGAAACUACAGCUUGAACUCAGGGUACAAAGGAGAUAUGACAUCUUUAGAGCCAUACUCUACAGGACUCAAGUAGUUGCUGGGAUGAUGUACUUGAUUAAGGUCCAAGUUGCUGAUACUGAAUAUGUCCACUUAAAGGUAAUUUCGGGCCUUCCUCCGGAGAAGUUAUUUCCUGACCUUGACAGUUUUCAGACUGGCAAGACCGGAGAUGAUCCUCUGGACUUCUUCUGAGACACGAUGAGGGCAGUGCCUCACUUCUACAAGUCACGUGGGGGUUCUGACCAUGACAGUAAAUGCAUGAAAAUAAAAUAAGGCUUGAAAGCUA